rnacentral:rRNA from 1 species
UCCUACGGGAGGCAGCAGUGGGGAAUUUUCCGCAAUGGACGAAAGUCUGACGGAGCGACGCUGCGUGAAGGAUGACGGCCCGCGGGUUGUAAACUUCUUUUCUCGAAGAAGAAACAAAUGACGGUAUUCGAGGAAUAAGCAUCGGCUNACUCCGUGCCAGCAGCCGCGGUAAUACGGGAG